CUGACUCCGCCCCCUGGCAGGCCUACCCAAUCAGUGUAUUCUACCCACCAGGCUGCUGUGAUUGGGUCAGUGCAGGCCACCUGACCCAAGUUGGUCCAAUGAGACUCCGUGUAAGUCCAUUUGGGCCACCACACCCACCCGGGCCUGCAAGGGGAGGAAGCUGACUUAAGAAGGAACUCAACGCAGAGGAAAGCAAAAUGGAGACAUGGAGGGAGACGCCAAGUUCCAGUGACAUUAAGCCCCUGAAUCCCACCAUGGCUGAACUUGCAUUACUGAAGCCCUCCUGAGUUGAAUUUCUGCCUCUUGCAAAUGAAAGAGGCCUGAUGAAUACCCACAUAGUUCAAUUUCAAUAUACGAAGUUCUUCAGACGACGGUCCCUGAGUUACUGAAGCCACUUCACCUGUUUGGGCAGACAGCUGGGAGUGCCCAGAGCUGACACCCUCCAGGUGACCCACAGGUAACGGCUGACCCACGCUGGAGUGUAGGAGCCUUGCUUCAAGACCACACAGACUUUGAGGUGAUGUUUUUCCUUUUUUUCUUUUUGGUGAUUUCUUAUUUUGGUAAUAUAUACAUAACAUUAAAGUUACCAUUUUAUUUUUGUCCCAACUACAAACUUAUAUUUUAAAUAUUUUUAAGUGCACACUUUAGGGGCAUUAAGUACAUUGACAUUGUCCUACAACCAUCACCUCCAUCCAUCUCCAGAACUUUUUCAUCUUGCCAAACAAACAUUCAGCCCCAUUCAACACUAACUCUUGUUCCCCUUCCCUUUCCUCAGCCCCUGGCACUCACCAUUCUGCUUUUUUUUUUUUUUUUUUUUUUUUUUCUGAGACAGAGUUUCACUCUUGUUGCCCACGCUGGAGUACAAUGGCGCCGUCUCCGCUCACUGUAACCUCUGCCUCCCAGGUUCAAGCCUUUCUCCUGCCUCAGCCUCCUGGGUAGCUGGGAUUACAGGCAACCAC
rnacentral:lncRNA from 1 species